AGACAGCGCUAUCGCGCUUCCUCAGCCCGAACGGCAUCGAAGUAACGACUGGAUAAAAAAACUUCUUAUCCAUAACUCACA
rnacentral:ncRNA from 1 species